UGAGGAAUAUUGGUCAAUGGACGCAAGUCUGAACCAGCCAUGCCGCGUGAAGGAUGAAGGUCCUCUGGAUUGUAAACUUCUUUUCUCUGGGGCGAAAAAAGGUCUUUCUAGAUCUCUUGACAGUACCAGAGGAAUAAGCACCGGCUAACUCCGUGCCAGCAGCCGCGGUAAUACGGAGGGUGCAAGCGUUAUCCGGAUUCACUGGGUUUAAAGGGUGCGUAGGCGGGCAGGUAAGUCCGUGGUGAAAUCCUAUAGCUUAACUAUAGAACUGCCAUGGAUACUAUUUGUCUUGAAUAUCGUAGAGGUAAGCGGAAUAUGUCAUGUAGCGGUGAAAUGCUUAGAUAUGACAUAGAACACCAAUUGCGAAGGCAGCUUACUAUGCGAUUAUUGACGCUGAGGCACGAAAGCGUGGGUAGCAAACAG
rnacentral:rRNA from 1 species